UGUUUGAGGCGCUGAGGCGAGUCUACAGAUUUUUCGUCUUUCAUGGCAGUUCUCGUGGAUUUUAUUCGUUUACAAACAACAUCUUUCAACUAGUAAGCUAUCCGAAUGGCUGUAGUGUCUUUAGGCAUGAUAUUUAACCGUGGGUGGCCGUCAACUGGUGAGAUUCGUUGGCAAUUUACAUGUAAGACACCAAAUCAAAGUCUAGCUUGAAACGAAUAAAUAUGGAUACAUGUAGUGUACAAAAAGCUCAAUCCAGUCGCUCAAUCAGCUGAAACUAAUGUAGUCUUUCUUGUUGCACAGUUGGCUCCAUCGCCGAAACUAAAGCCCAGAUCUUUCAAUCGGCUUAGCGACCACCAAGUUUUCCUUUCUUCCUCAUCACUCAACACCUCUCUCAUAUUUAAGUAAGCAUAUUGUUGUUGUUGUUUUUUUUAUAAGCAUUGUAACCUUUGAAAAUGUUUCCAGAUUACAGGAGAUUUUUGGCAUGAUGCUAAUAAUAAUUCUUAACAGACAUCAACUGGCUAUGUGAAUUGCAGUGUGCAAAUUUAUGUUUUGAAAUUUUAAAGAAAAGGUUCACAAGCUUGAGGCUACACAGGUCUAGUCAUUUAUAACACAGCCCAAUUCUGUUGUGUAUCAGUUUGAUCAAUCAGUCUUUACAGCUAGUUUUAGAGCAAACGCAUGGAAACCGUGAAAUAAAACGAAACUAAAUAAUAACAAAUAGCUGCUAUUUAGAGACAAAUUGUCAGUGUCAAUGAACCAGAAUGCAAUCAAGUUGAAUAGCUGAUUUACAAAUUUUGCUUCAGUAGUCAAACACAAAAGAAUCAAGACGAGGCACUGUGCGUAAAUCUCAGUCAGUUGCGAAAACUAUUGUCUUUUCACAAAUGACUGAGCUUAAUGCAUGGCGCCUCGUAUUCAUUCCUUUGUGUGCGAUGUUUGAUGCAAAACUUGCAAGUCGGCUAUUAAAAAUGGUCCCAUGUGGAUUCCUUUUCAUUAAGUUCUGGUUCAUUGGAACUGACAAAUUGUCUCUAAAUACCUGCUAUUUGUUAGUAUUUUGGUCUGCAUUUCCUCUAUACUAUAUCUUUUUUUAAACAAAUGUCACAUAUAACUUUCAUUUAUGACUCACUGCUCAUUGAAGGAGUAUAUUACAGAGCUUUGAUGAUAAAACCAAUCAAAACUAUAUAUAUUACUGUUAAUUGAUCUGUUGUUACAACCAAGCCUUGAGAUGUUGGCCAGGGAAAUGCUGGGAUUGAAGUCAUGUUCACCACUUAACAUUACAAGGCAGUGUUGUUGACAAUUAUGACAUUCAUUGACUUUUAAUAUGAUUGAAUAAAAUAGUGCAAUUUGAUUGGCUUAGAGGAGAGGUAUUUAUACUUAAUAAUGGUAUCUCACAUUGCUCAAUUUUGUUCAACCAUUAUA